AUGACACCUGAUCAUAUCUAAAUAUCUGUAGACUUAAGUGAAUAUAUAAAUACGUGAAGGUCUAUCAGGCUUGCAUCAGAAUCUAUUGACGUUUGGUCAGGACAUUUCUCUCCUUCAGCAGUCAAGUCAGUUCAACAGACAUAUACAACAAUGGUCAAAACUCUGUUCGUUGUUUUCCUUUUGGGACUAGUGGUUGCAGCAUCUGCAGUUACCAACCCUGCCGCACAAUGUUACACUCUAUGUGAAACUCAGUUCCAUGAAUGUCGCAAAACAAACUCUAAGGAUGAUUGUUGCACCAGUUUCAAGAGCUGUUUCAAAACUGCCUGUUCAGCCGACACGUUUUUCUGCCCUCCUUCGAAAGAUGACGCUGCUGAAGGUGACGAUGUCUGGGGAAUGGAAGGCGCUUUUAAAAGGCCAAAAAACGAGUGAAGUACCAAGCAGUACCUGCCGUAUAAAUUUCACUGUCAUUUCUAUAAUCAGUACUGAAUGCCAAUACAGUUACCUUCCAUCUUCUCCAUAAAUGUAGAAUUUUUUUUUAUAUAAUAAUAAUAAUAAUAAUAUAU